UCUAGUACGGUCUCGUGGGCUCGGAGAUGUGUAUAAGAGACAGACUCUAACCGGCGAUUUCCGAAUGGGGAAACCCAGUGUGUUUCGACACACUAUCAUUAACUGAAUCCAUAGGUUAAUGAGGCGAACCGGGGGAACUGAAACAUCUAAGUACCCCGAGGAAAAGAAAUCAACCGAGAUUCCCCCAGUAGCGGCGAGCGAACGGGGAGGAGCCCAGAGCCUGAAUCAGUGUGUGUGUUAGUGGAAGCGUCUGGAAAGGCGCGCGAUACAGGGUGACAGCCCCGUACACAAAAAUGCACAUAUUGUGAGCUCGAUGAGUAGGGCGGGACACGUGGUAUCCUGUCUGAAUAUGGGGGGACCAUCCUCCAAGGCUAAAUACUCCUGACUGACCGAUAGUGAACCAGUACCGUGAGGGAAAGGCGAAAAGAACCCCGGCGAGGGGAGUGAAAAAGAACCUGAAACCGUGUACGUACAAGCAGUGGGAGCCUCUUAAUGGGGUGACUGCGUACCUUUUGUAUAAUGGGUCAGCGACUUAUAUUCUGUAGCAAGGUUAACCGAAUAGGGGAGCCGAAGGGAAACCGAGUCUUAACUGGGCGUUAAGUUGCAGGGUAUAGACCCGAAACCCGGUGAUCUAGCCAUGGGCAGGUUGAAGGUUGGGUAACACUAACUGGAGGACCGAACCGACUAAUGUUGAAAAAUUAGCGGAUGACUUGUGGCUGGGGGUGAAAGGCCAAUCAAACCGGGAGAUAGCUGGUUCUCCCCGAAAGCUAUUUAGGUAGCGCCUCGUGAAUUCAUCUCCGGGGGUAGAGCACUGUUUCGGCAAGGGGGUCAUCCCGACUUACCAACCCGAUGCAAACUGCGAAUACCGGAGAAUGUUAUCAUGGGAGACACACGGCGGGUGCUAACGUCCGUCGUGAAGAGGGAAACAACCCAGACCGCCAGCUAAGGUCCCAAAGUCAUGGUUAAGUGGGAAACGAUGUGGGAAGGCCCAGACAGCCAGGAUGUUGGCUUAGAAGCAGCCAUCAUUUAAAGAAAGCGUAAUAGCUCACUGGUCGAGUCGGCCUGCGCGGAAGAUGUAACGGGGCUAAACCAUGCACCGAAGCUGCGGCAGCGACACUAUGUGUUGUUGGGUAGGGGAGCGUUCUGUAAGCCUGUGAAGGUGGCCUGUGAGGGUUGCUGGAGGUAUCAGAAGUGCGAAUGCUGACAUAAGUAACGAUAAAGCGGGUGAAAAGCCCGCUCGCCGGAAGACCAAGGGUUCCUGUCCAACGUUAAUCGGGGCAGGGUGAGUCGACCCCUAAGGCGAGGCCGAAAGGCGUAGUCGAUGGGAAACAGGUUAAUAUUCCUGUACUUGGUGUUACUGCGAAGGGGGGACGGAGAAGGCUAUGUUGGCCGGGCGACGGUUGUCCCGGUUUAAGCGUGUAGGCUGGUUUUCCAGGCAAAUCCGGAAAACCAAGGCUGAGGCGUGAUGACGAGGCACUACGGUGCUGAAGCGACAAAUGCCCUGCUUCCAGGAAAAGCCUCUAAGCAUCAGGUAACAUCAAAUCGUACCCCAAACCGACACAGGUGGUCAGGUAGAGAAUACCAAGGCGCUUGAGAGAACUCGGGUGAAGGAACUAGGCAAAAUGGUGCCGUAACUUCGGGAGAAGGCACGCUGAUAUGUAGGUGAAGCGACUUGCUCGUGGAGCUGAAAUCAGUCGAAGAUACCAGCUGGCUGCAACUGUUUAUUAAAAACACAGCACUGUGCAAACACGAAAGUGGACGUAUACGGUGUGACGCCUGCCCGGUGCCGGAAGGUUAAUUGAUGGGGUUAGCGGUAACGCGAAGCUCUUGAUCGAAGCCCCGGUAAACGGCGGCCGUAACUAUAACGGUCCUAAGGUAGCGAAAUUCCUUGUCGGGU
rnacentral:rRNA from 1 species